CAGCAGGGUGGAAACCAACUCUGACUUGAUUAACACUGAUGUAAAAUGGCAAUGGAUUCAGUCACACAAAUGAAAGUAUGUCUGAGCAUAUCUAACGUUAGUGACAUUUGCAAAAGGAUCAUUGUGAAUGGCAUUUUGUGAUGUUGUCUGCCCCCCUAUUCCCUCCACCCCAAUGAGUAUUUGUACUCCAGAAAGUGUAACAAUGAUAGCAGCAAGAACAUCAGCUCAUGGAGAGAUCCUGUUGAACAAGACCUGUAGGUCAUAUUCUUACAGUGUUUACAUGUGCUCAUAUUCGAUAUUAUUAAAUAAUUUCAUGAUAUGGACACACUUAAAGCUCAACUUGCACUGCUUUUUAUUACUUUAUUACUUUAUUUAUGUUGGGUCAGUGCACAUAAAGCAGCCUGUAAACUUUAAACAGCCUAUUUAAUUAUUCUGGAUUUAUUGUGACAAUCACCUAUAAGACAGAGAUACCCAGUGAUGGCACUUAUGAUGACCAUGGUGUUGUCUAAAAUCAGACUCUAUCUAACGUAACAGUUUGUAAUUCAACCAACCAUAUCAGACUGUGAAAUGGAUUUAUGAUGGUAAGAGAAAUGAAGGUCAGUUUUCAUCAGUGAAGGUGCUGUUGAUUGCAGAAGUACGUGAUGAAAUUAUAUAUAAGUUUUUAUCAUCCUUAGAAAACAGAAAACAAGCUGAAUGAACUUCCAUUCCUCUGUAGUUUAAAAGAUGCCCUUUCCUUCCCCACAAGACAAGCUGGAUGAAGAGACUGAUACGUAAUUAUUCUUUUAUGCCAGCUAAAAAAUAAAACCAAAAGCAUAUCUGUUUAUAUCUAAUGUGUUGGGCUGAUAUAUAUAUAUUUUUUAACAUUUCACCAAUAAAAAAUAAUAAGCUUCAACAAAAACGUCUUCUCAUAGGUAUCUUCUGCAUGGACAGGAAGAAUCAGUCAAAGCCAGAUCUUGCCAAUGGUUGUUUUGUGGACUACUGCAAAAAAUGAGGUGUUUUGGAGGGAUUGGGGAAUGCUGUCAGCUAAUGGACAAGUUGAGGGAGCACCAGCAAAUUCCUUUGUUUUGUUCUGCUCCUGGGAUCAGGAUACCACUGGGCUUCACUUUGUCUGGGGUAUAUAAACAAAUAUUAAUAUUGAUAUGAACCUGGUUACUGAAUAUUUGUAAUAUGCUUGUGUAAUUAUAGACAGAAGUGUAUAAAAUGGAGCCUUGGCAAUACUCCCAGUCAAAUGCAUUGCUGUUUUGUAUCAUUUGUUUGAAGAUAUGUUUUAUUGCUCUAGAACUAAUUACUGAAAUAUUUUGUCAUUCUCUAUUAUUAAAUGCAGAAGGGUUGAAAAGAACUGGAUGGCAGGCUAAAGGAUACUGAGGAAGCCACCAAAUUUUACCUUUGCUUCUGAUGAAACAAGAAUGAAAGUAGUUUGGGGGCAAAUGUACAGAAAUCUAUUUGUUUCUUAAUGUAAUUCAGAACAACACCUACAGGUGAAUAUUACAGGACAUGCAGAAUAUGAUUAAGAAAGAACAGGUGUCUCUAAGUUGACUGGUUAUGUUGGCCUUGAUAAAGUGAUUAAACCAUGCAUCAUUAUGCUCCACAGCAAACUUUUGUUUAGUUCAAGACAGAGUUUGAAAAAACACUAGGAAAAUGUUCAAAAUGCCGAAAGAGUAGUGAGAUCUGAGCAUGACUGAAUGUUACUUUUAAACCUAUAUUCUUUCUUUGAUGCAGGCUUAUAAAUCCAAUUAACACUAAUGAGAAAUAUGUUGUGCCCAUAUGCAAACAAUGAGCUGAGAACCCCUACUGCCCCCUCCUAGAUUUCUUUGUAUAUUUCAAAUAUUGAACUGUUACAUUAAAAGCAUAUUCUGACUUGAAAAUUUUCAGAAUUGUGUUUAUUCUGUCCUAAUAAAAAUGGAUAGUGACAAAAUGUAAUUGCUUCAGUAACAUCUUGCAAGAACAUCAAGAAUAUCUUUUAUGUUUCUGUAGUUUGGAA